rnacentral:rRNA from 1 species
AUUGAACGCUGGCGGAAUGCUUUACACAUGCAAGUCGAACGGCAGCACGGACUUCGGUCUGGUGGCGAGUGGCGAACGGGUGAGUAAUGUAUCGGAACGUGCCCAGUCGUGGGGGAUAACGUAGUGAAAAUUACGCUAAUACCGCAUACGAUCUAUGGAUGAAAGCGGGGGAUCGCAAGACCUCGCGCGAUUGGAGCGGCCGAUAUCAGAUUAGGUAGUUGGUGGGGUAAAGGCCCACCAAGCCAACGAUCUGGAGCUGGUCUGAGAGGACGACCGGCCACACUGGAACUGGGACACGGUCCAGACUCCUACGGGAGGCAGCAGUGGGGAAUUUUGGACAAUGGGCGAAAGCCUGAUCCAGCCAUUCCGCGUGCAGGAUGAAGGCCCUCGGGUUGUAAACUGCUUUUGUACAGAACGAAAAGGUUUCUACUAAUACUAGGAGCUCAUGACGGUACUGUAAGAAUAAGCACCGGCUAAUCACGUGCCAGCAGCCGCGGUAA